CAGAAGUUUUUCAAAUUAAAAAGCAUAUUCAUACCUCUCAAAAGUCUGAAUGGUGUAGCUUAUAAGCGGCCGGCUCAGUAAUAGGCAGAACUGUUUGGGCGUUAGCAACCCGGUCCUCUCUCCGCUGCCACCGGCAGGAAGAACCACACACACCGGGAAGUCUACGUCGCCUUUACCCGGCGCGAGGCCGCUGUUGCCGGUCUGACGGUUUAGGAAAGUCCCUGGUUGCGUGGGCCUGUCUGGUUCAUCGCUCGACAUGACGCUGGGCUUCGUCUCUAUCAGCUCCUGCAUGGACUGUCAGAGUACUCCAUUCCCGAUAAUUCCCAUUCAAUAGAAAAGGAGCUUCACUUGAGGAACAAUGGUGCCAUCUGCUGGCAAUGAACAGUUUCAGCAACAAAACAUGACUGCGCUGUCACUGCUCCAUCGGCAGCUGAGGCCCGGCUCGUCGACCAGACUCAGCGGGACGUGGAUUCGCUCUGUCUCAGAGUCCCAUGGGUGCUUAAACGUCCCGUUCCACCUGAGGCUCCUGCGGCCUGGCCUGGCCCCCGCUUGUGGACGGGUCUACCCCGGUGGUGCUUGUGGUGGACCACAUGGAGCGCGCUGAGCUAAAGCCGCUGUCGACGUGUGGCGGUGUCAGGUUCUCCAUCACCGCAGAGCUAAAGGUUGUCAGCGGGUCCGCAGAGAGUGACCUGACACAGGCCUUGGUGGUGUAGCGGUUUGCAUAGCUGAGACGGGUUAGAUUCCUGCACCCAGGGCAGAUUUUGGGCGUAGUUCAGGCGGCCCCACUAGGCUGAGGCGACUUGAGGGUUGGAGGUCAAGACCUUUGCCUGAC